rnacentral:rRNA from 1 species
UAUGAGAUGGACCCGCGUCUGAUUAGCUAGUUGGUGGGGUAACGGCCUACCAAGGCGACGAUCAGUAGCCGACCUGAGAGGGUGACCGGCCACAUUGGGACUGAGACACGGCCCAGACUCCUACGGGAGGCAGCAUG